GACAGAGGUGCCAAGCGUUAGGCGGAAUCACUGGGCUUAAAGCGUGUGUAGGCGGAUCGUUAAGUACCUUGUGAAAUCCCACGGCUCAACCGUGGAACUGCUGGGUAUACUGGCGAUCUUGAGCCACCUAGGGGCGAGCGGAACAAGCGGUGGAGCGGUGAAAUGCGUAGAUAUCGCUUGGAACGCCAAUGGUGGAAACAGCUCGCUGGGGGUGUGCUGACGCUGAGACACGAAAGCCAGGGGAGCGAACAGG
rnacentral:rRNA from 1 species